UACGUAGGUGGCAAGCGUUGUCCGGAAUUAUUGGGCGUAAAGAGCUCGUAGGCGGCUUGGUAAGUCGGAUGUGAAAUCUCCUGGCUCAACUAGGAGGGGCCAUUCGAUACUGCCAUGGCUUGAGUCCGGUAGAGGGAUGUGGAAUUCCCGGUGUAGCGGUGAAAUGCGCAGAUAUCGGGAGGAACACCUAUAGCGAAGGCAGCAUCCUGGGCCGGUACUGACGCUGAGGAGCGAAAGCGUGGGGAGCAAACAGG
rnacentral:misc_RNA from 1 species